rfam:Nomascus leucogenys chromosome 4, whole genome shotgun sequence.
GGGAAACGGGAAGAGGGGCCAGCCACAGGCCCCACUGCAAACUGGGGCA